rnacentral:rRNA from 1 species
GUGAACGCUGGCGGUAGGCCUAACACAUGCAAGUCGAACGGCAGCACAGUAAGAGCUUGCUCUUACGGGUGGCGAGUGGCGGACGGGUGAGGAAUACAUCGGAAUCUACUUUUUCGUGGGGGAUAACGUAGGGAAACUUACGCUAAUACCGCAUACGACCUACGGGUGAAAGCAGGGGAUCUUCGGACCUUGCGCGAUUGAAUGAGCCGAUGUCGGAUUAGCUAGUUGGCGGGGUAAAGGCCCACCAAGGCGACGAUCCGUAGCUGGUCUGAGAGGAUGAUCAGCCACACUGGAACUGAGACACGGUCCAGACUCCUACGGGAGGCAGCAGUGGGGAAUAUUGGACAAUGGGCGCAAGCCUGAUCCAGCCAUACCGCGUGGGUGAAGAAGGCCUUCGGGUUGUAAAGCCCUUUUGUUGGGAAAGAAAUCCAGCCGGCUAAUACCUGGUUGGGAUGACGGUACCCAAAGAAUAAGCACCGGCUAACUUCGUG